CGUCCUUAUUACUAUUUAUUA
rnacentral:snRNA from 1 species